GACGAACGCUGGCGGCGUGCUUAACACAUGCAAGUCGAGCGAAGCGGCGGACGGGUGAGUAACACGUGAGUAACCUGCCUUAGACAUUGGGAUAGCCUCGGGAAACCGGGAUUAAUACCAAAUGGUCUAAGAUGGACUCGCGGCCCAUUAGCGAGUUGGUGAGGUAACGGCCCACCAAGGCGGGGACGGGUAGCCGGCCUGGGAGGGUGACCGUCCACAUUGGGACUUGGAUACGGCCCAGACUCUACGGGAUGCAGCAGUGGGGGAUAUUGCACAAUGGGCGAAAGCCUGAUGCAGCGACGCCGCGUGAACGAAGAAGGCUUUCGAGUCGUAAAGUUCUUUUAUAUGGGAAGCGGUACCAUAAGAAAAAGCCCCGGCUAACUACGUGCCAGCAGCCGCGGUAAUUC
rnacentral:rRNA from 1 species